GCUGCGGGACGGCCCGCAGCUUCCAGCCCCAUUUGCAGGACGGCCUGC
rnacentral:ncRNA from 1 species